CAAGAUCAUACACUUCAGGCUAAGCAGGUACAAAAGUGAGAGUGAUGCCAACUAGGCUCUGAGCAGAUAAAGGCCCCCCUGGACAUCCAGAGCCUUCACAUCUGUGAACAUUGGGAAUGUUAGCACCACUCUUAGGACAACAGAUUUUCCCACCUUUGGUCAAUUACAAUGACAAAGCCAGAUGUUUUAAAAUACUGCAGGACCAGGAAAGGCUGCGUGGCUGGAGGUAAAGGCACAUUGGAUUCUGAGAGACCCCACUGUGCUGGUGACUUCCAGCUUUAGAUGGAAAGUACACUUCUCCUAGAAUGUUAGAUUUAGUUUGCUAGAGAUACAACUGCAGGAGAUGUGAAGAGUGCUUGUUUAUCAACUGGUCCAUUUCAGUGACUUCCUCAACUCCUAAGUUAGAGAGCCCUUACUUAGUAACCUGGAUGCCUGUCUCCUUUCAGGUAGGUGAGGGACAGAGUGGAAGGGACUCCAUCAUGGAAGCAUGCCCAGAAUUCUUCCAAAGUUUGAUGACUGGAUCGCUUCCUGUGCCAUUCUCUGUUUCUGUGUGUUUAUUGAGAGCUCCUUGAACACAAACCGCAUCCUCUUCUUCCUGUAUCCUUCCAACAGCAAG
rnacentral:lncRNA from 1 species